rnacentral:tRNA from 1 species
AGAAAUAUAGUUAAAUUAUAAUAUUUAUUUUGCUAAUAAAAGUUAUUUAUAUAAAUUAUUUUUA